UACGUAGGGGGCAAGCGUUGUCCGGAUUUAUUGGGCGUAAAGAGCGUGUAGGCGGCCAGACAGGUCAGCUGUGAAAACUCGAGGCUCAACCUCGAGACGUCGGUUGAAACCGUCUGGCUAGAGUCCGGAAGAGGAGAGUGGAAUUCCCGGUGUAGCGGUGAAAUGCGCAGAUAUCGGGAAGAACACCCGUGGCGAAGGCGGCUCUCUGGGACGGUACGUGGACGCUGAGACGCGGAAAAGCGUGGGGAGCGAACGAG
rnacentral:rRNA from 1 species